CGCCUCUUGACAUUAUAUAAGAGGUCCAGCCUGCCCAGUGAAAAUUAAACGGCCGCGGUACACUGACCGUGCAAAGGUAGCAUAAUCACUCGUCCCUUAAAUAGGGACUCGUAUCAACGGCAUCACGAGGGUUAUACUGUCUCCUCUCCCUAAUCAGUGAAACUGAUCUCCCCGUGAAAAAGCGGGCAUACACAUAUAAGACGAGAAGACCCCAUGGAGCUUCAAACCAAAAGCAAAUUAAACUAAUAUACCACUACAACCCCUUAUACUAUGCACAUUGGUUUUAGGUUGGGGCAACCGCGGAGAAAAAAUUAACCUCCGUAACGAAAAGACCUUAGUCUUUAUCCCAGAGCCACCGCUCUAAGAACUAGAAUACUAACGGGUAAUGAUCCAACUUACUAGUUGAUCAAUGGACCAAGUUACCCUGGGGAUAACAGCGCAAUCUACUUUGAGAGUUCCUAUUGAUAGGUGGGUUUACGACCUCGAUGUUGGAUCAGGGUAUCCUAGUGGUGCAGCCGCUACUAAAGG
rnacentral:rRNA from 1 species